rnacentral:rRNA from 1 species
GUUGCUGAACGGAUCGAAGCGUUCGUUGCGUUGGCUAUGGAGGCGCGGGCAGGUGUGCUAACGCUAGGCUGCCCCGGCGGCGGAGGCGCCGGCGGACGAGAGCUGUCGCUGCAGCUGAGCAGCUACGCCCCCGCCUCUGGAUCUUUACGGCGGGAGGCCGGGGCGAAGGAGGGGUUUAGGCCGUAACCGCUCGAAGGCGUUAGGGGCUUUUCCAGAGUCGAGCUAGCUAAAAGAACGCGUGGGAGAUAAAAACACCAAUCGAAAUGACGCGCUUACAACGCUACGAAAGCUGGCAAAUCUCGAAUCCGAAACCAACCGGUUACCAAGCAGAUACAAAUCCUACCCCUAGUCGUCUACCAAGUGAACGAACCAACGGUUGAACGAACUGAAUAUGUCGUGAUGUUAAAAUGACACUUUACAAACGAGAUUCGUCAGAUACACAUACACCGUGCGAAAACAACGAUAAAACGCCUUUACGGGGGAAUGACAUGACAGACAAAAAAAAUUCUUUUCCUCCUACUGGGGGCCGGAGACGUAGACCAUCUACGUAUGCCGGUGAAAUAACUAAUAAGAGCUCCUGGAAUGUUUCACAAUGUUGUUAUUCGGACUUAGGUGGUAGAUCCGUUGUAUACGGCGAUGAGGAUAGGUAUACUACUUCCCCACGAUCGACCCGGUGAUGGGUCUGGUGAGUGGAUUAGGAUUGUAGUUUUCGGCCUUAGGGGUCGGAUCGGUGUAUGGCCCAGACCCCGUAUUUGGCCAGACUGCGUGAGUGUUCACAGCAGAGGUAGUAGAAGGUGACCAGGUAGAGGUUCGUCUAACUCCACGGUUGGAACCGUCCGAGGAGGCGGUAGUUGCGGUGGUACUGCGGUUUACUGCUGGUGGUGGAUGCGAUCUUGUAGAGGUUCGUUUGUUCUUUUGUUCCUUUCGGGUUUUCUAUGUUCCCCCGUGAGACUUGAAUGUUGUGUAGCCUCUCGAUCAAUGUUCUCCAUCCCGUGAUGAUCGUAUUUGGCUACUGGCGUUGGGAGUCCGCGGUUUCUGUGUCCUCCUUACGGCGACCCUGUUUGUGGUUCGGCCGGUGUGGUAGUGCGCGGUUCUUGCAGAUUUCCGACGUCCUUUCGGCGGCUCGUUGUUGUCUCUCCGCCUGUCGCCCUGUCGCUCUCCGUGACGUGGACGACGGCCGGUUUUUGGGGUGGAAGUCGUCGGGAUGCGGGCUUUGGUGUGAGGGAUCUGUUGCGGAGGUACCUCCCUUGCUGUGUGUGCCGCGGCGGCGACGGGUUAGGACGGCCUAAAACCCAAAAGUGGGCCCUCUCCCUUGCCUCCACCCCUCUUCCUCUGAUGCUGUAGCGGAGGUUCUUUCUUUGCAGCGGGUUCCGGCUGCAGCUACGGCCCGGCUUGGUCAGCCGGUCCCCAAAGGGGGCCAGGGCUAGACGUUGUGGUCGGGGUUUGAGGUGGCCUAGGUCGCUGGUCGGCGCCCUUUGGUUCGCGUCUCCCCCUCCCUCACUUAACCCCUGCCGUUUGGAGGUCUAGACCGCUCCUUCUCCUCCGGAGGUGCGACAUCGGUGGCCGGCGGCUGCGGGGUGGCGGGGGCGUCAGCUCCUGCGGCCGGUCUCGGGAGGCGCUCGCGGCAAGUCCCGUUCUUGCCGCGGCGGUGCGGCCGUCCCCGGCGGCGGGGACCCUAGGUCUAGGAGGCGACGUCCUCGCUGCUCCCGGAGCGGCGGUGGCAGUGACCGCCGGCGCGCCCGAACGGGCCGCUGGUGGAGUCCACCGCUGCUCCUCCCUCUCCUCCCCACCCCCUCCGCCGCGAGCCCUUGGGAUCGGCGGCGGGCUCAGCGGGCCAGUUCGCUGCGCCCCCGGCUCUCUGGAGACAAAGAAACAGGGAAAAUUCGGCCAAGGACGUACGUAAUGAAUGAAGUUCGGAACAACAUACGAGACGUUCAGACUGUCGAAGAGUACAGCCGGCUUGUUAUCAUGUGAUAUCACGGUUCACUUUAUAAACUACUGAUAAGGGGUUAAGUAUCCAAUAACAGUGUCAAAAGCAAAACCAUGUGAUACGGAACAUAUAAACAUCGUUAAACAAAAGUAUUUCAAGGGAUUUUUUUCAACCAAAGCCUUUCUCACAAGUCCUACCGGAGAUCGCGUUGAAUUAAGCCCGGUUUUGUAAAGUUAACUAAGGAAUUUUCAUUUACAAAGUUAAUGCUCCUAAAAAAAGGAGUCCUGUAUAUGUCAUUAAUUAAGUCAUAUGUAAUACACAUAACGAAACUACCUACCGUUCUCUUAACAACGAACAGGCGCUACUUCACGUCGGGACGUUUCAUUUGACGUUUUAUGUUAUGGGGACAGCGUUAGACAACCACGAUUGAACAUAAGACCAGAAGAGAACCGAAGUGAAGAUGAGGAUGUAAUGACGGGACUGAAUCAAUUACAAAGUAUAAGAACGAAGAAGGGACAGGUAACAUUGAAACUACGAGAUACAAAGACCCCAACGUCAUAUACAUAAACGCGUCUUGCUAGUUAGUCAAUGACGAAACCAAAGUCAACACUGUCCAGCGUUACCGGCAGGGUUCUUCCAGAAACCUACCGUCCAACAAGACCCACGACCCAGAACAAACACGGUACAUAGUCUAUAAAAAACAAGCCAGUCGUCGCCCAGUUUGUCGUGUCAACUCACACUUACGAAGUGGAGUCUUAUGAGUCUACUAAGGACUCUUAUACAAACCGUAGAAAAAGCUCCUCUAAUUGGUACGGCCCCGACCACCCAACACCCGGCUUGAACAUUUAUUAUCUCCAAAACUUCGACCACCAGGAUUAUGAGGAAGUUUGUAACUGGGUACCAACUAUUAACCUCUACUUAACUUGUAAUAACAACGUUGGCUGGCGAGUAGGACAAAACGUUGAUUAGGUUAGCGUGAAGCCUACCUUCAUGAAACACUUAGAUCACCUUUACUACAGACGGGUGGUCCUCCACAGCCAUAAAUAUUAGGACCGAAGACCCCGUACUUAUAACUCCUUCGCUUCCAAAUAUUUCAGUCGUACAUGUAGUCCAGUAGUCUGAGGUACCUAGAUUGUCAAAGGAACUGUUCAAGUCUACCAGAAGUCUUAGAUCGACGAAUAUGGUAGUGCCGACUAUUCCUUCUAAAAUUUCUCACCCGCUUCCAACUCAAACUAGACGUUAGUUCACUUUCUUUAAGAUUGAGUUCCGAAGUCGAAUGUUGGUCUUGUUCACCGUAACAAACCAAACUAGUUCAUAGUGAAUACGGUAGACUAUGAAUGUACCCCGUACCAAUAGCAUUUCUAGAACGCAGAUACGACCGUUUAGAUUUCGGAUUUAAAAAAUUUAAGGGUCCACCUCUGAUACAGUACCCUUUGAUGGACAAUUUACGUAAAGCGACCUCACUUUGACAACCUGGGACCCUCCUCUCUGGACCAGUAAAAUUACUACAAACCCCGAUGACCUGACUACUACCUGAACCUAAGAAACUCAAGGAAGUUAAUCGUCUUCUGGAACCACGAACGGGUCAAACCCACCAGUUACUACCCCGAUCGGCUUUACUUGUUCACGGUAGACGGUGUUAUCGACGAAAACAUUUCCUACAACAACUACCAUAACUCAAACGCUCCCCUCUGGGACCCUGAAGUACCCCAAGUCAAGCACGUCGUUACCCUGUGGGUCUCGGGAAAGUCGAAUUAAUAUAAAGAUACCCUUUAGUCCUUACGAGUUACGUGAUGAUAUUUCUCUUAAUGGCGUUCAAGAUAAGACGUUAUUUUCGUAGGAUGGGUCUAUAGUUUUAGUAUAGGUCGACACUAUCUAGAUGGUAAAGUGGCCAGCUUGGACGACUAGACAUACUACAAGUACAGAUAUGGAGUAGACCACUAUACAAAAGGUUUAGAUCGUACAAACUGUCGUGUGGGGCUCCGCCUGGCUUCCGUUAACAAUCACUUAUACGACACUGACCUUUACUACGACCGGCUCCUUGUGAUCAUCGACGAAAUCGACUUCGACGUAAAGAAUAACCUAAUCUUUCUUUGUCGCUGCGACAACUUUACCGUUCAACACGAGGUGAGAAGCAUUUACUGUUACUAGCGUCCACCUCAGGUCUACGGUAUCAGAAGUUGAGUACCGUCGUGAUACCUACAGGUUUGAUGACCUACAAUGUGAAGAAGUUCCUCAGUUCACCACGUCGUGAAGUAGGUAGAUGGUAAGUUCAUAGCUUGAUAUUAGUUGACCAGCGUAGCCGAUAGUGAACCGUCUUAAGAUUUCUACCGUUAUGAAUGGAUUUUUAUUUCCAAGAGUUAAAGCCGUUGUUCCGACAUCUAGAAUCAUAGAGGUAUUGACCCGACCUCUUACUCUAAGUCUGUAAACCUAGGUAUUUCUGCCAUGAAUGUAGACCAAGAGAUGCCCUACUCUUAAGGAAGGUCGUUGGUCUGUUCCACCACGGCCACCUUUCAGGCUAUUCGUUACGCUCCCUCCUCUACUCAGAACAUGACCUAGGCAUGAGGGAGUGGAGCAAACUAGAGGAGAACCUGGGCUCGUUAUCGUGCUACUACGUAAGUCAGGGCCUCAGUUCGAACGUAAGUUCAUACACUUAUGUCUUUCCUUACACUAUCUGCUCUCUCGGCAGAGGGUUACGUUUUGUACUUAAACCUAAUUUGUAUUUGAAUUAUACCGGCACACACCUACAUACGUAUUUCUGUGUCCACUUUCCCGUUCACUGAGACUAAUAUCUAUACCAAGUCUGAGAUUUCGAAUACUUGUAUAGGAGGCAGUAUCAGAUCCACCAAUCCUAUGAGCCGAGAGUGGGCUCUCUGGGUCCAAGUUCAGGGCCGCUGGCAAAAACCGCUUUUUCUAAACGAUAUGAGGGAGGCAAAGUUUUAUAUCACGCUGGCGC